GAUGAACGCUGGCGGCGUGCCUAAUACAUGCAAGUCGAGCGAACGGACGAGAAGCUUGCUUCUCUGAUGUUAGCGGCGGACGGGUGAGUAACACGUGGAUAACCUACCUAUAAGACUGGGAUAAUUUCGGGAAACCGGCGCUAAUACCGGAUAUAUUUUGAACCGCAUGGUUCAAAAGUGAAAGACGGUCUUGCUGUCACUUAUAGAUGGAUCCGCGCUGCAUUAGCUAGUUGGUAAGGUAACGGCUUACCAAGGCAACGAUGCAUAGCCGACCUGAGAGGGGGGUCGGCCACACUGGAACUGGGACGCGGUCCAGACGCCUACGGGAGGGAGCAGUAUGGAAUCUUCCGCAAUGGUCGAAAGCCUGACGGAGCAACGCCGCGUGAGUGAUGAAGGUCUUCGGAUCGUAAAACUCUGUUAUUAGGUAAGAACAUAUGUGUAAGUAACUGUGCACAGCUUGACGGUACCUGAUCAGAAAGCCACGGCUAACUACAUG
rnacentral:rRNA from 1 species